rnacentral:lncRNA from 1 species
UGGAUCUUAACUAGUGCAUCGUCUCGGCUAAGACAAGUACACACUUAUGAUUAGUCCUUCUUGCAAGCAUCCGCAAAUACAAGAGAGAAAUUAAGGCAAAGCCUAACCAUAGCAAUAAGCUUUAGGAUCCAAUGCUCCCUCAUGCAAAAGUAUGCAAACUGGGGUUCAGGUUUCUGUCACUCCGGCAACCCACCAUAAGCAUUCUUUAUAAACGAUGCAUUCCCCUAUGUCCUUAAAAAGGCGAAGUGUUAUGUAGUCGACAUUCACAUAACACCACUAGAAAAAUAACAC